AGCUCUGCGCAGUGGCAGUAUAGUAGCCAGUGAGGUUUACCCGAGGCACGAUUAUUGCUAAUUGAAAACUUUUCCCAAUACCCUGCCAUGACGACUUGAAAUAUAAUUGGCAUUGGCAACUUUUGGCAGUCUCUAUGGAGA
rnacentral:snRNA from 1 species